UGGAUAGAAAACUCUCUGGUUUAAAUCAGCAUGAAUUCUGCACCAGGUCUUGACCACUGGGCUGAUAUUUUGAUAGUCAUUCUUUAUUUUAUAGCAGUACUUAUUGUUGGCUUGUGGUCACUAUGUCGACCAAACAGAGGAAGUAUCAAAAGUUAUUUCUUGGCAGGAAGAGAUUUAUCUUGGUGGCCGGUAAGUGG
rnacentral:sRNA from 1 species